GUGGGGAAUAUUGGGCAAUGGGCGCAAGCCUGACCCAGCAACGCCGCGUGAAGGAAGAAGGUCUUCGGAUUGUAAACUUCUGUCAUUGGGGACGAAGGAAGUGACGGUACCCAAUGAGGAAGCCCCGGCUAACUACGUGCCAGCAGCCGCGGUAAUACGUAGGGGGCGAGCGUUGUCCGGAAUUACUGGGCGUAAAGGGUGCGUAGGCGGCGAUGCAAGUCCAUUGUGAAAAGCCCGGGCUUAACCUGGGAGGUGCAGUGGAAACUGCAUGGCUUGAGUGCAGGAGAGGAAAGUGGAAUUCCUAGUGUAGCGGUGAAAUGCGUAGAUAUUAGGAGGAACACCAGUGGCGAAGGCGGCUUUCUGGACUGUAACUGACGCUGAGGCACGAAAGCGUGGGGAGCAAACAGGAUUAGAUACCCGAGUAGUCC
rnacentral:rRNA from 1 species